rnacentral:tRNA from 1 species
AUUUAAAAAGUAUAUAAAUGUACAUUUAACUUCCAAUUAAAAAGCUUAAUUUUAUUUAAUUUAAAUA